rnacentral:rRNA from 1 species
AGCAGCCGCGGUAAUUCCAGCUCCAAUAGCGUAUAUUAAAGUUGUUGCAGUUAAAAAGCUUGUAGUUGAAUUUCGGGGUUAGUAGGUUGGUCAUGCCUCUGGUAUGUACUGGCCUCACUGAUUCCUCCUUCCUGAUGAACCGUAAUGCCAUUAAUUUGGUGUUGCGGGGAAUCAGGACUGUUACUUUGAAAAAAUUAGAGUGUUUAAAGCAAGCUAACGCUUGAAUACAUUAGCAUGGAAUAAUGAAAUAGGACGUUCGAUCCUAUUUUGUUGGUUUCUAGGAUUGACGUAAUGAUUAAUAGGGAUAGUUGGGGGCAUUAGUAUUCAAUUGUCAGAGGUGAAAUUCUUGGAUUUAUUGAAGACUAACUACUGCGAAAGCAUUUGCCAAGGAUGUUUUCAUUAAUCAAGAACGAAAGUUAGGGGAUCGAAGACGAUCAGAUACCGUCGUAGUCUUAACCAUAAACUAUGCCGACUAGGGAUCGGAUGAUGUUAAUUUUUUAAUGACUCAUUCGGCGCCUUACG